CUAUUAGUUAGUUGGUGAGGUAAUGGCUUACCAAGACACCGAUAGGUAGGGGUCCUGAGAGGGAGAUCCCCCACACUGGUACUGAGACACGGACCAGACUCCUACGGGAGGCAGCAGUGAGGAAUAUUGGACAAUGGAGGCAACUCUGAUCCAGCCAUGCCGCGUGCAGGAAGAAGGCCCUACGGGUUGUAAACUGCUUUUAUACAGGAAGAAUUGUACCUACGUGUAGGUAUUUGACGGUACUGUAAGAAUAAGGAUCGG
rnacentral:rRNA from 1 species